GGCAGAGGGUGGGAGGAGACGGGCUGGCCGAGGGGCAGAGAAAAGGCAGGAAGGAAGCUGAUAUAAAAAAAAAAAAAUCUAUCUUGAGAAACAAUUCCUCUCCAUCUUUAAACCUAUGAAACUCAAAAAAUAAAAUCUGCUCUUGAAAUCUAAUGAUUAGACAGGCAUAGAAUACCAGUUAUAGACAUUCUGGCUAAAAGGGGAGAAAAUUUAAAGGAAAAAAGAAGUCACUAGUUCAAAAUAUUUUCAAAAUUCAGCUGUUUAAACUUCCUUUGUAUUACAUAAAAUUAAUUAUUAUUAUAUAAAUAUUAUUUUAUUUAAUGAUGGGAUUAUAGUAUUUCUUUGUGUGUGUAAUAAAACUUGAAACAACCUUACAACAAAUUUAAUUGCUUAAUCCUUACCUUCCUCUGAGUUAACCUGACAAGUAAACUUUGAUUGGUUUUUUCUAUAAGUAUUUUAGACAUUAAGUUGCCACAUAUUACAUGUUUAUUUUGGUUUAGCUGUGUGUUCCUGGGAUCAAUCUAGCACCAGCUUUCUUUACUGAUAUCUGACUAAAUAUUCUCAGAAUUGGAUNAUGUUAAAUCUUUUUUUUUUUUUUUUUUUUUUUUUUUUUUUUUGUCUUUUUAGGCCACAGGCUGGGGUCGAAUCGGAGCUGUUGCUGCUGGCCUACGCUAGAGCCACAGCAAGGCCAGAUCUAGCCAUGUCACGGCAACACCUGAUCCUUAAACCUACUGAGCAUGGCCAGGGAUUGAACCCUCAAUCUCAUGGUUCUAGUUGGAUUCGUUUCCUCUGUGCCACGACAGGAACUCCAGAAUUGGAUACCUUUAAUAUCUUCAUGGAAACUUCAUUUUGGCCUUUUGUCAAGAUGUAUGCGCAAUUGUUCUUUUAGGACUCUGUUCAGCCCACAGAUGUCUCCACAGCUGCUCUCUGUUCCAAAGGGGAUUUUUUUUUUCCCUUAGAAGCAGUCAUGUAAGGCUUUUUUUGUUGUUUUGUUUUGCAUUUAUUUUAUUUUUAUUUAAAACAUGGCAAAGAUGUUUCCCUCCAUUGGGGGAAAAAAUCUAUCUUACCCAAAAGAUGGCCUUGAGAACGGCAUCAAGAAUGAUCUGAAAACAAAGCACACUCGCUGUGUUUCUGUUCAUUCUUGGAAUCUCACUAAAUUUUGUGUAUACUGGAGGCCCAAGAACUGUAACCGUUCAAGAGUAGAAUCUCCUUCCUCCGUUUUUUGUGACUGACUUGGUAUUUGAGACAAUGCAAAAACUGUCACAGUUCAUUCAGUGCAGAAAGAAAAAAAUCAGUCAGAUAAAUGCAUAGUUGAGGCAAAAUUGCCAAUUUGAGAACAGCUUGAGGUUUAGGGGGAGCAAGUAAUUCAAACUGCUGCCUAUGUUUCCUGCAUCCACUAGGCUCAAGGAUGUUCUGAUUUUCUUUGUGUUAUAGGAGGAUCACAUGAUUCAAUAAAGUGAACCUGUGAUUAUGGCA
rnacentral:lncRNA from 1 species